UGGUGGAAGAAAAACAGAAAAUAACAAUCUGUCAAAGGAAUUGGGAUACAAGUCAGGCUGUAUGACUGUAUGAUGAAGGAGAACCCGAU